rnacentral:lncRNA from 10 species
CGGCGCGGGUGCGCGGUGCGGCGCUGGUAUCCAGAGGACGCGGUCACCGCCUCUGGCAUUUGUCGUUCUGCGCUUCUCCGCAAGGACCCUCUGUUAGGCAGGCGCCCACCGUAAGCCUCCCGGGCCUUGUGAACCUGCAAACCCAAGUCUGAGAGACGAUCCGCCUUCAGCGCUUUCCAGCUUGGCAGAGAGGCUUUCCCGGCGGGGAUCUUUGGUUGGCGCUGGCGAUGCGCGGGGAAGAAAGGCGAGGAGCGGCGUCCAGGCUGGGUGAUGUCCCAGCACGAGUAGGCGGGAUGCGCUCGCUUGGUCCUCCGGGCGCCCGGUCCCUGCCCGCGUCGCGCGCCCACCCCUGGGGACGAGAAGGCGGCCGCCUGAGGACCCCCGCCCGCGACCUCCGCGAGUCUGGAGCGCAGAGGACAGGGUCUGGCUGCUCUUUGGCCUUGGAUGGAAAGUGGGGAAUUGGGUGGGGGGCUGCGGACCCCUUAACGUGGAUUACUUGGUGUGUAUCAGCUGGGCUCAGAAGACCCACGACCUCUUCUCCAUCCGUGGAUUGAUUUGUUCUGCUUAACAGCUGGGUCGCCAAGCUGGAGGUGGAAUCAGAGGUUUCUGGCUGACUCGGUGGGUGCUUUGAACCAGGAAAGGACAAGAAAGAGGAUGGGAAGGACUGAUCCACAUUCCCACCAGGAAGUUUAGCAGAACCCCCGCGUGCCACCUGGACCCCUUGGAAGGACCUGGCUCAGGCUGGACCACCUCUUGAGAGGCAGGAGCUCUGGAUUUGAUCAAGAAUUCUUUGCUGAGCAUGGUGCCUCAUGCCUAUAAUCCCAACACUUUGGGAGGCCAGUGUGGGAGGAUCUCUUGAGCCCAGGAGUUCAAGACUAGCCUGGGCAACACAGAGAGACCCCAUCUCUAAAAUAAUAAUAAUAAUAAAAUAAAAAAUUAGCAGGGCAUGGUGGCAUGUGCCUGUAGUCCCAGCUACCCAGGAGGCUGAGGCAAGAGGAUGGCUGGAGCCUGGGAUGUUGAGGCUGCAAUGAACUGUGAUUACCCCACUGCACUCCAGCCUGGGCAAAAGAGCGAGAGACCCUGUCUCAAAUAAUAAUAAUAAUAAUAAUCUUAUUUUGGAGAAUAAAGAGACCUCUGGAUUUGAGGUGCCAUUUGGGUAGAAAGAAAAGACGUUUACACCGAGAAAUAGUCUGUGUUGCCCUGAAGGAGCAGAGGGAUGCAUCGCUGGAGGUGACCUACAGUUGAAGAAGACUCAUUAUGACAGACCUUGUCCUUCUUCCUUGUGGAAAGUGUUUCCUCUGCUGCUACUGCUCAUGAGACUCUUCCCCCUCCCUGUCCCAGGGAACCAAAGGGCUUUCUACCACACCCUUUCUUGCCCCCCGCCUCCCAUGUCUGCUGUGCCUUUGUACUCAGCAAUUCUUGUUUGCUCCAUUAUCUUCCAGCCGGAUACAGAGUGAAUAGUUAACCACACUUAGGUCAAAUAGGAUCUAAAUUUUUGUUCCUGCUCCGUGUAAAGAGGCCAGUGUUUGUGUGUUGCAAGCAGCCUUGGAAUAGUAACUCUUCUCAUUUGUUUGGGAUCUGGCCACCAAGUUCCAGAAUGAUACACGGAUCAGUGCAGAAGUUCAUCAGGCUCUCGGACCUUAGGGCUGUUGGAGAAGGCUUCAGCAGCAGAACUGAUGGUGAAGGCUCGUGUUCUCCAUCCUCAACUUUCUUUGCUUCGAUCAUACACAAGAAUACAUUUGGAAGGGCAAAAAAUGAACACUGUCGUUCAUUGCAGCCGUGUUUUGUGACACAGAUGCACAGUCUGCUGUGAAGACCUUCUCUCAAGUGGCAUUUGGGAGUCCAUGCCAGAUCAUGGUGCUUCAUGAGAGACUGACAGCUAUCAGGGGUUGUGGCACUUAGUGAGGACUCUCCUCCCCCAGUGUGUGCUGAUGACACAUACACACCUGACAAUAGCUUGAGUCUUCUCUGUUCCUUUUACUCUGUAGCCAACAUACACAUGAUUUAAAACCCUUUCUAAAUAUCUAUCAUGGUUCAUCCUUGUCCAAAUGCAGAGUCAGAGCUAUUUGUACUUCAUUAUUAUUUCCAAGGCGAAUAGUUGGCUUUCUUUUUGCAAAAAUAAUUAAAGUUUUUGUAUGUUGCAGUUGCUGUGCUUGUAUGACCAUUUAGUGAAUUUGGUGUCUUCUAAAUAGAACAGUGGAGUCCUUGUGGACAUCUCAGAUUCAUCACAAAAUGAUUGAGGAGAACCUCUUGAAGAUGUUUAGAGCUAUUGAAAUUUACAGAUUGUUGAUGGGUUUUCACCUUUUCCUUCCUUUCUUGACACACAGUUACAGGCAUUGUAUUCCUUGGAUUCCUACAGGUGUCAAGGAACAGAGAUCCACUUACGUUACCUUCAUAAAUCCUGGUUUAUUCAAAAGUCACAGUAAGGUAGACAGGAAAUAGUCCCAGCCACUGCCUAGCUAAGCCUUUUCAAAAAGCCCAAGGUCAUUCAGCAGAUGCAGAAGCACUAGUUGGUUU